rnacentral:rRNA from 1 species
AGUGAACGCUGGCGGUAGGCCUAACACAUGCAAGUCGAACGGCAGCACAGGAGAGCUUGCUCUCUGGGUGGCGAGUGGCGGACGGGUGAGGAAUACAUCGGAAUCUACUCUGUCGUGGGGGAUAACGUAGGGAAACUUACGCUAAUACCGCAUACGACCUACGGGUGAAAGCAGGGGAUCUUCGGACCUUGCGCGAUUGAAUGAGCCGAUGUCGGAUUAGCUAGUUGGCGGGGUAAGGGCCCACCAAGGCGACGAUCCGUAGCUGGUCUGAGAGGAUGAUCAGCCACACUGGAACUGGGAAACGGUCCAGACUCCUACGGGAGGCAGCAGUGGGGAAUAUUGGACAAUGGGCGCAAGCCUGAUCCAGCCAUACCGCGUGGGUGAAGAAGGCCUUCGGGUUGUAAAGCCCUUUUGUUGGGAAAGAAAUCCAGCUGGCUAAUACCCGGUUGGGAUGACGGUACCCAAAGAAUAAGCACCGGCUAACUUCGUGCCAGCCGCCGCCGUAA